GGUAUGCAGAAACAAGUUUCCAUUUUGUUAUUCACCAAUGUACUAUACCAAUACAUGAGCCGCGUGUUAUCGAAGUAAUUUAGGUCUACAAUUAAUGUUAUAAAGAAAGGGGUUGUUUGACGUUUGGAGUCAUUUUUGGCAAAGAAACAUUACUGAAUAUACAGGUGUGGAACCUAGAGUGUACUGAAGCAGUCAUUUCUGAAACUCGCAUGCUGCAAGUCAACGGGGACAAAUGGGAAGCAUUAAAUUCAGAACAAAUUGAACUUCAUCUUAAAUUUUGAUGAUGGAGUGAUAAUGUGGAAGCAACGGUUAAGUAGAAGCACAUGCCAUCAAUUAGUUGGUGCUUUUCAAAGUUUAUAUAGAUAGAGGAAAGCACCCGGCUUUAUCUCGAAUUAUCAUCACAUGAAACAACUUCAGAAUGAAAUUUUUGUUUGAAUUGCAGAAGAUAAAACCGGGUGCAUGACAGUGAAUUUUUAGAAUUGUACAUUCAGCUCCACUAACAUACUAUUUUUUAGCUUCCGCCAUUCUGCACUAUUAACAAAACGUAGCUUCGUCAGUCCGAAGGAAGAGUGACAAUCUUGGCACUCUGAGUCAUUCCACUAAUACCAUUUGGUCAUUCCCAAUACUAUACCAUCCCCUUAAUACCUUUAAGUAAGAAAAUACAGUAAUAUGCAAUAAGCUCGUACUUUAUCAUUUUUUACUUUUGUGCUUUAAUUGGAUUCAUACUUUUGUGUUUAGAAGUGAAGAGUGAUAGUUUUGUGGUGGUCUUCAUUUUUAUGCUGUCAGCGCUUAAAUUCACGGCUUCAUGGUUGAAGAAAUUGUAGUGAACAAAGUUUGCAGCAGCAUUAACAUCUACUCAAGAAAUUUUGGAGUCAAAUAAUUCCUUGGCUCAGUGUCCACUUUGAUGGCAGUACUGUAAAUCCAUAUGAUUUAUCUUGCAGUGAAAAAAUAUUUUUGCUUUAAUAUUUUCACCAAAGAACUGGCUAUGGACAAGGGUGCGUGGAAGCUUGCUAUCCAUGUGCUAGAGCCAUGAGUUGGUCGCGAGAUCUUAUGGGUUUCACCUCUAGCCUACCCCAACUUGUUUGGGACUAAAGGCUUUGUUGUUGUUGUUGUUUGAUGUGACAACAAGAGCUUAGCCCCCAUAUUUACUCCACCACGCUCAGUUUCUGAAGCUGAAGUUGGUGCAAACUUCACGCAGAGACCUUUGAAGAUGUGCUCAUGCGUACAUAUACUGCCGAAGAAACAAAGGAAGCUUUUCAUGUUGUGCGUAACAGCAUAGAGCUUCUUUCAACUGUUCUUCCAUCUUCCCCUCAGCAGGAUGCUUUGCAGCAACGGGCUUGGCUAUCUGACGCGCGCGUGUUGGAGCAGCCGGUUUCAGACAACGUCAAAACUUUCCUGUUUAAGUAAUUGAGGGGAGAAGGUUUGGCGCACCGGCCCCCCACCCGUUGAAAUCAGGGGGGCUGAAAAGAUUAGGAUCGAGCGUUGUAGCGCUCAGGCACGUAAGAGUUGUUAGAUGUGUAUAGUCUCUUUUCGGUUUAUCCCCAUUGUAUAAGGGGUUUUCUGCACUUUACCACACAUGUAUAUGUAUUGGCCUUUGGCCUUCAGUAAAGUCAGUUGCCCAUU